ACCGUGUAGGAGAAGACGAUGUGUUUGUAUCGGUCCCUACCCAAAUAAACCAUACAUUAAAAUUACAAAUAACUGUGGAAAGGAGGAACGUUAGUAUUCAGUAACAAGAGAAGUGUUUCAGACUAAAACAACACAUUGAUUCAUAACGAGGUCCUAGUUAGUUAGUACUAUACAACAGGGAGGUCCUAGUUAGUUAGUACUAUACAACAGGGAGGUCCUAGUUAGUUAGUACUAUACAACAGGGAGGUCCUAGUUAGUUAGUACUAUACAACAGGGAGGUCCUAGUUAGUUAGUACUAUACAACAGGGAGGGCCAAGCUAGUUAGUACUAUACAACAGGGAGGUCCUAGUUAGUUAGUACUAUACAACAGGGAGGUCCUAGUUAGUUAGUACUAUACAACAGGGAGGUCCUAGUUAGUUAGUACUAUACAACAGGGAGGUCCUAGUUAGUUAGUACUAUACAACAGGGAGGUCCUAGUUAGUUAGUACUAUACAACAGGGAGGUCCUAGUUAGUUAGUACUAUACAACAGGGAGGUCCUAGUUAGUUAGUACUAUACAACAGGGAGGUCCUAGUUAGUUAGUACUAUACAACAGGGAGGUCCUAGUUAGUUAGUACUAUACAACAGGGAGGUCCUAGUUAGUUAGUACUAUACAACAGGGAGGUCCUAGUUAGUUAGUACUAUACAACAGGGAGGUCCUAGUUAGUACUAUACAACAGGGAGGUCCUAGUUAGUACUAUACAACAGGGAGGUCCUAGUUAGUUAGUACUUUACAACAGAUGACGCACCGAGAGAUACAUGUACCCAAUCCUAAAUCAACCCCUAGUCCCUACUUGUCUAGAUCAGAAUGCAGUGUUUCCCCUAUAUUCAUUCCCAUAGACUUCUAGUCAAUGCACUA